GUCUCGGUGGUGUAGUGGGAAGCACAGCAGAACGCAUAUCUGUCAGUGUGGGUACGAGUCCCGCCUGAGGUU
rnacentral:tRNA from 1 species